GAUAGAACGAGAGCCUCCUCCUUCUCCUCCUCUUCCUCUUCCCCAUCUCUCUCAUCCUUCUGACCUCCUCCUCCUCUCUCUCUAAAAAAAGCUUCUCGUGCUUAUAAAUACCCUUCCCUCCCUCCCCGUGCGAGUUCCUCCGCCCGAUCCCCUUCCGCCCCCUCCCGACGAUCGCCCCCGCUCGUCCCACCGCGGUGGGCGAUCGCUCCUCUCCUCCGUGCGCGCGAUUCCUGAGGCGAGGCGACCGACACCAGAUUCCGCCGGCCGGCCCACCUCCCCCGCUUCGCCGAUCGGAUCGCGUGCUCCAUGAGGUAGAGGUGACGAUAAAGCAUAGUUGUUGACUUAGCUUGCAGUGGUUCUUUAUCGAAGCUAAGGCAGAUAAUAAUUGGCGUUAUGGCAUAUCGAAUGGUAUGCGCUCCCCAAGUCAUUGAUCUCGAGUCUGAGCGAGGGCAUCCUCAUGUUCAUUCUGAAAGUUUAAUUCACAAUGGGAAUGAUUUGUCCGACCAAGGCAGUCAAUAUACUGUCAGAGUUGUAGGCAAUGCUAUGAAUGCUGGUCUUUCUGAUACACAGGGUUACUACAAUAUGAGCAUGAAUCAUCCACAUCAGCCUGUUCAUAGUUCUCCGCCAAAUUUAGGCGUUGAUUCAGGUUUUGUCUUCCCAUCAAAUAUGUACAACCCUUGCAUGUCAACAUCUAUGAACAGAUAUGUCUCUCAUGCUCAGAGCUUUGGAUUGCCUUUAAACCAAGUUGUCUCAGGAAGUAUGGAUGGAAGUACUAGAAAUGAAAAUGUCAGCGAAACUGCUAGAGGAUUCAUUAAAAGGAAAAAUGCCGCAGUGGCAGGAACUUGUCAUUUUGUUAAUGGAUCUGCAAGCUCAAGCUCAUCCUCUCAUACAUCUCAAAAUCCUACACAUAGGCCAUGGGAUCCUUCUUUUGAGUCAAAUGUUUUUCCUAAUGUCACACCAUUCAACCCAUCAGAAUAUCAUAGCCACAGCACUUGGCCAUCUGUGGAAGGAUCUUCCAUUACUGGAUCAAAUGGGUUUAAUUUGAUGGCUGCUCACCCAGAAUCAGCACAGCAUGGUAACUAUACAUUUCAAUCAAGUCAUGCUAGUCAGUGCUUUCAACCUGCCAGCACUACUUGGGUUUCCCAGGCUGCAACUGGAAUUGUGGAAGGAGUACCACAGUGGUCAUACAUCAAUGCAAUGUCUAGUGUUCCAGCAGGCAGAUUUGCACAUUCAGGGGCCACAGAAAUAGUGAAUGGAGGCUUUCAUGAAUAUCAGAAUGGCCCUUCAACCAUUUCUCAAGGGCAUUUACCUUAUUUUCAUCAACAUGCUGUGCAUAGCAUGCAACCUCAUAAUCCACUGGAUCAUACACGAGUGCAAGUCCCUUACCAACAAGGCCACAAUAAUGGCAUCUUGCAUAGUGGGGUAAAUCAUUCUGGUAACCGGUUCCACUUGAGUCCAAGAACUCCAGGUCUCUUCUCUAAUUCUGAGCGGUCUUUUGGGCCUCCACAGCAUCCGUUCCUGGUGAACCCAGUUAAUCAUAGGAACUUAAGAAUUUUGCCACCUCUGCAUGGUGCAAUCAUGGAUUUUUCGAGGUUGUAUGAGGGGUCAAAUGUAGUAGAUGAGCAUAGAGAUAUGCGUCUAGAUAUAGACAGCAUGACCUAUGAGGAGCUUUUAGCAUUAGAAGAGCACAUUGGAGACGUCAAUACAGGUCUGGCAAAAAGCCACAUUGUAGAUAAAUUGAAGACUAGCUUAUAUGUGCCAGGAGCAACCUGCGUGUCUAAUCAGUCAUCUGAACCUUCCACAGAGAAUGAGGCUUGCAUAAUAUGCCAGGAGGAGUACGAGGCUGAGGACUGCGUUGGAAUCCUGGAUUGUGGCCACAGAUACCAUGCGGUGUGCUUAAAACAGUGGCUGACGGUAAAGAACCUAUGCCCCAUCUGCAAGACAACAGCUUUGUCUGCGGGUAGAAGAAGUUGAUAACAAACAGGAUUAAUCUUUAUCAGUUAUUUGCUUGACAAACAUUCAGAUCAAUUUUGUACAUAAGAAGCGGUAGACUAUUCUGCUACCUGUAUUUGUUGUUCACCUUGUGAUUGGGAGUAACUCGGCUUCCAAAAACUGUACAGACAUAACAUUGAUCGUUCUAUUCAAAUGUAGAAUGUUUAUAAAUUACUCAGUUGGACAUACAGUGUAUCAUAUGGUGGAUCCGAAGGUAACUCUUAGAGUGGCAUCUCUAGAAACUACCCUGUAUAUAUGUUGGUUACCCUAAAACAAACAGAAACAUGUGUUUUUUACAUUAUUUAUUAAUCUUAAGAGAACUGAUAAUUGUUUCUGU
rnacentral:rRNA from 1 species